rnacentral:rRNA from 1 species
GAUGAACGCUGGCGGCGUGCCUAAUACAUGCAAGUCGAGCGAACAGAUGCGGAGCUUGCUCCUCUGACGUUAGCGGCGGACGGGUGAGUAACACGUGGAUAACCUACCUAUAAGACUGGGAUAACUUCGGGAAACCGGAGCUAAUACCGGAUAAGAUAUUGAACCGCAGGGUUCAAUAGUGAAAGACGGUUUUGCUGUCACUUAUAGAUGGAUCCGCGCCGCAUUAGCUAGUUGGUAAGGUAAAGGCUUACCAAGGCAACGAUGCGUAGCCGACCUGAGAGGGUGAUCGGCCACACGGGAGCUGAGCCACGGUCCAGGCGCCUACGGGAGGCAGCAGUAGGGAAUCGGCCGCAAUGGGCGAAAACCUGACGGAGCAACGCGGCGCCAGUGAUGACGGUGUUCGGUGCGGAAAGCUCUGUUAUUAGGGAAGAACAACUGUGUAAGUAACUGUGCACUUCUUGACGGUACCUGAUCAGAAAGCACCGGCUAACUACGUG